rnacentral:rRNA from 1 species
GACGAAGGGGGCUAGCGUUGUUCGGAAUUACUGGGCGUAAAGCGCGUGUAGGCGGUUGUUCAAGUCAGGUGUGAAAGGCCUUGAGCUCAACUCAAGAAAUGCACUUGAUACUGGAUGACUAGAGGACCGGAGAGGAUAGUGGAAUUCCCAGUGAUAGUGGUGAAAUUCGUAGAUAUUCGCAGGAACACCAGUGGCGAAGGCGGCUUAACUGGUCCAUAACUGACGCUGAGGUGCGAAAGGCGUGGGGAGCAAACAGG